UCAAACGGCCAUAGGGACAGGGCAACGCCCAAACCCAUUCCGAACUUGGAAGCUAAGCCUGUCCACGAUACGAAAUACUGCCCUAACAGGCGGGAAAGCGCAUUGCUGUUUGGC
rnacentral:rRNA from 1 species